rnacentral:rRNA from 1 species
AGAGUUUGAUCCUGGCUCAGAUUGAACGCUAGCGGGAUGCCUUACACAUGCAAGUCGAACGGCAGCACGGACUUCGGUCUGGUGGCGAGUGGCGAACGGGUGAGUAAUGUAUCGGAACGUGCCUAGUAGCGGGGGAUAACUACGCGAAAGCGUAGCUAAUACCGCAUACGCCCUACGGGGGAAAGCAGGGGAUCGCAAGACCUUGCACUAUUAGAGCGGCCGAUAUCGGAUUAGCUAGUUGGUGGGGUAACGGCUCACCAAGGCGACGAUCCGUAGCUGGUUUGAGAGGACGACCAGCCACACUGGGAUCUGAGACACGGNCCAGACUCCUACGGGAGGCAGCAGUGGGGAAUUUUGGACAAUGGGGGAAACCCUGAUCCANGCCAUCCCGCGUGUGCGGAAUAAUGGCCNU